GACGAACGCUGGCGGCGUGCCUAAUACAUGCAAGUCGAACGAACCGCGACUGAGUGCUUGCACUUGGUCAAGGUGAGUGGCGAACGGGUGAGUAACACGUGGGUAACCUACCUCAUAGUGGGGGAUAACAGUCGGAAACGACUGCUAAUACCGCAUAGGACAUGGAAUCACAUGAUUCUGUGAGGAAAGGUGGCGCAAGCUAUCGCUAAGAGAUGGACCCGCGGUGCAUUAGCUAGUUGGUAGGGUAAGGGCCUACCAAGGCGAUGAUGCAUAGCCGACCUGAGAGGGUGAUCGGCCACAUUGGGACUGAGACACGGCCCAAACUCCUACGGGAGGCAGCAGUAGGGAAUCUUCCGCAAUGGACGCAAGUCUGACGGAGCAACGCCGCGUGAGUGAAGAAGGUCUUCGGAUCGUAAAGCCCUGUUGUUAGAGAAGAACAGCGCAUAGAGUAACUGUUAUGCGUGUGACGGUAUCUAACCAGAAAGCCACGGCUAACUACGUG
rnacentral:rRNA from 1 species